UGGGGUAUAGCUCAGUGGCAGAGCGCAUGUUUAGCAUGCAUGAGCUCUUGAGUUUAAUCCCCAGGACCUCCA
rnacentral:tRNA from 1 species